AAAGCGGGGGCAACCCCGUGAGUACAGUGGCGAACGGGUGAGUAACACGUGACUAACCUGCCUUCGAGCGGGGGAUAACCCCGGGAAACCGGGGCUAACACCGCAUAACAUCGCGAGGUGAAAUUCCUUGUGAUCAAAUGCGCAAGCAGCUUGAAGAGGGGGUCGCGGCUGAUUAGCUAGUUGGUGAGGUAACGGCUCACCAAGGCGAUGAUCAGUAGCCGGCCUGAGAGGGCGCACGGCCACACUGGAACUGAAACACGGUCCAGACUCCUACGGGAGGCAGCAGUGGGGAAUUUUGCGCAAUGGGGGAAACCCUGACGCAGCAACGCCGCGUGGAGGAUGAAGUCCUUUGGGACGUAAACUCCUUUCGACCGGGACGAUUAUGACGGUACCGGAUGAAGAAGCCCCGGCUAACUUCGUGCCAGCAGCCGCGGUAAUACGAGGGGGGCGAGCGUUGUUCGGAAUUAUUGGGCGUAAAGGGCGCGUAGGCGGUGCGGUAAGUCACCUGUGAAACCUCUGGGCUUAACUCAGAGCCUGCAGGCGAAACUGCCGUGCUUGAGUGUGGGAGAGGUGCGUGGAAUUCCCGGUGUAGCGGUGAAAUGCGUAGAUAUCGGGAGGAACACCUGUGGCGAAAGCGGCGCACUGGACCACAACUGACGCUGAGGCGCGAAGCUAGGGGAGCAAACAGGAUUAGAUACCCUGGUAGUCCUAGCCCUAAACGAUGGAUGCUUGGUGUGAUGGGUACCCAAUCCCAUCGUGCCGCAGCUAACACGUUAAGCAUCCCGCCUGGG
rnacentral:rRNA from 1 species